UUUCGGAGGAUACAUAACAACUGCCACUAGGUCACAGAACAUCACUCAGAGAGAGCGCAGCAAAAGCAGCAUUGCGAAGAAAAAGAUUUAUCCAACAAAAUGAAGAUUGUAAUUGUUCUUGCCUGUCUUUUGGCCAUCAUUGUUCCCUCUGAGACCAGCAGUAGUGGAAGUGGAAGCAGUGAACAAAGGAGAUACAGAGUUUAUCCAUUCCAAAACCCAGCUUCAAACUUUGGCUUUAUAAAUCCUUCUUACUAUCAACAGGAUAUAAUCAACGCUUUAAUAAGGGCUUUAGUAGCUGUCAGAUCAGUAAAUAAUGCUCCUUCAGGAGCCCCAGUGCCAUGGCCUUUCCCAGCGCCCAGGCCUCCCCCAGCGCCCAGGCCUCCCCCAGCACCCAUGCCUCCCCCAGCGCCAAUGCCAGGUAUUAUAUCAUCUAUCUUUAAUAAAAUAGCUGGCUUUUUUGGGUUGGGGAAGUAGUACCAAUGGGGAGGGAGGAAGGGGAAUGAGAGGAACCAGAAGUAUCCAUUCGGAAUGAAUUGGCCGACCAAGGAUGGAGCUGUGAGAAUGGAAUAUGAAACUCCGUCAAAGAGGCACCAAACCUCAAAGCCAUUCCCAAAACAUCUAAAAUGAAAUCUAUUGGACACUGAUGGACUGGUCAAGGGGAGAAGGCCAGAGAAGAGGGGGAAAUGCAGGCUUUGCAUGGGAAUAUUCUGAUCCAGCUUUGCUUAUGCUGUAACUGCUUGAACUUAGUAAA